GGCUUUAUCUACCUAAGCCUCGUUGGAUCAGUGGCUACUCAAGGCAGAUGUGCCUCCCAGCAAAAGGCAGGAAUGCAAAAACAAUUGUUACUAUCCAGGCCCUAAUGUGAGGAUUACAGAUGAAAAUUUUACUUUCACAUAAGUACUGAAGACAAGAAUGAAAGCAAACAUUGAGAACCGUUUUCAAAAUAUUUCAUUUUUAGUUGGAUCAAUAGGUGAAAUUUUAUCAGCUAUGAUGCUAAAAAUAAAGUAUUUCCAAAUCCUGGAAAAUUAAA